AGCGAUAUUUGAAAGUCAUCCAAAGCUCACCAUGCAACAUGUUGCUACCGUGUCCAUACUUCCAUUUCUUUGCAUAUGCCAUAUUGCCAUGGAUUUAUCAGCAGAUAGUGUCAUACACUGGCACUAGCCAGUUGAAUAAAAAAUAUUAAAAUAGUUGUACGAUCAAUGAUCUACAUUGAAGAUGAGUUUGAUAAAAGUUUUCUCUGUCCGGACAAUCAGAUUUGCUCCAUGGUCGAGGAUUUGGAAGUGUUGG
rnacentral:lncRNA from 1 species